rnacentral:rRNA from 1 species
UACGUAGGGUGCGAGCGUUGUCCGGAAUUAUUGGGCGUAAAGAGCUCGUAGGCGGUGUGUCGCGUCGGUCGUGAAAACUUGGGGCUUAACCCUGAGCUUGCGGUCGAUACGGGCAUCACUGGAGUUCGGCAGGGGAGACUGGAAUUCCUGGUGUAGCGGUGAAAUGCGCAGAUAUCAGGAGGAACACCGGUGGCGAAGGCGGGUCUCUGGGCCGUUACUGACGCUGAGGAGCGAAAGCGUGGGGAGCGAACAGG